rnacentral:rRNA from 1 species
GGGCCCGCACAAGCGGUGGAGCAUGUGGUUUAAUUCGAUGAUACGCGAGGAACCUUACCAGGGCUUAAAUGUAGUGGGACAGGUCUAGAGAUAGACCCUUCUUCGGACUACUUACAAGGUGCUGCAUGGUUGUCGUCAGCUCGUGCCGUGAGGUGUCAGGUUAAGUCCUAUAACGAGCGCAACCCCUAUCGUUAGUUGCCAUCAAGUAAAGUUGGGAACUCUAACGAAACUGCCAGUGCAAACUGUGAGGAAGGUGGGGAUGACGUCAAAUCAUCACGGCCCUUACGUCCUGGGCUACACACGUGCUACAAUGGCCGGUACAGAGAGCAGCCACUUCGCAAGAAGGAGCGAAUCUAUUAAAACCGGUCUCAGUUCGGAUCGGAGUCUGCAACUCGACUCCGUGAAGCUGGAAUC